UGGGGAAUUUUGGACAAUGGGCGAAAGCCUGAUCCAGCAAUGCCGCGUGUGUGAAGAAGGCCUUCGGGUUGUAAAGCACUUUUGUCCGGAAAGAAAUCCUUGGCUCUAAUACAGUCGGGGGAUGACGGUACCGGAAGAAUAAGCACCGGCUAACUACGUGCCAGCAGCCGCGGUAAUACGUAGGGUGCAAGCGUUAAUCGGAAUUACUGGGCGUAAAGCGUGCGCAGGCGGUUUGCUAAGACCGAUGUGAAAUCCCCGGGCUCAACCUGGGAACUGCAUUGGUGACUGGCAGGCUAGAGUAUGGCAGAGGGGGUAGAAUUCCACGUGUAGCAGUGAAAUGCGUAGAGAUGUGGAGGAAUACCGAUGGCGAAGGCAGCCCCCUGGGCCAAUACUGACGCUCAUGCACGAAAGCGUGGGGAGCAAACAGGAUUAGAUACCCUGGUAGUCCACGCCCUAAACGAUGUCAACUAGUUGUUGGGGAUUCAUUUCCUUAGUAACGUAGCUAACGCGUGAAGUUGACCGCCUGGGGAGUACGGUCG
rnacentral:rRNA from 1 species